AGUAAUGUCUGGGAAACUGCCUGAUGGAGGGGGAGUAACUACUGGAAACGGUAGCUAAUACCGCAUAAUGUCGCAAGACCAAAGAGGGGGACCUUCGGGCCUCUUGCCAUCGGAUGUGCCCAGAUGGGAUUAGCUUGUUGGUGGGGUAACGGCUCACCUAGGCGACGAUCCCUAGCUGGUCUGAGAGGAUGACCAGCCACACUGGAACUGAGACACGGUCCAGACCCUACGGGAGGCAGCAUG
rnacentral:rRNA from 1 species